rnacentral:rRNA from 1 species
CCUACGGGUGGCAGCAGUGAGGAAUAUUGGUCAAUGGACGAGAGUCUGAACCAGCCAAGUAGCGUGAAGGAUGACUGCCCUAUGGGUUGUAAACUUCUUUUAUAUGGGAAUAAAAUGUUCCACGUGUGGGAUUUUGUAUGUACCAUAUGAAUAAGGAUCGGCUAACUCCGUGCCAGCAGCCGCGGUAAUACGGAGGAUCCGAGCGUUAUCCGGAUUUAUUGGGUUUAAAGGGAGCGUAGGUGGAUUGUUAAGUCAGUUGUGAAAGUUUGCGGCUCAACCGUAAAAUUGCAGUUGAAACUGGCAGUCUUGAGUACAGUAGAGGUGGGCGGAAUUCGUGGUGUAGCGGUGAAAUGCUUAGAUAUCACGAAGAACGCCGAUUGCGAAGGAAGUUCACUGGACUGCAACUGACACUGAGGCUCGAAAGUGUGGGUAUCAAACAGGAUUAGAUACCCUUGUAGUC